UACGAAGGGGCUAGCGUUGUUCGGAAUUACUGGGCGUAAAGCGAACGUAGGCGGUGUUCCAUGUCAGAGGUGAAAGCCUGGGCUCAACUCCAGAAUUGCCUUUGAAACGGGGACGCUUGAGUCCGAGAGAGGGUGGCGGAAUUCCUAGUGUAGAGGUGAAAUUCGUAGAUAUUAGGAAGAACACCAGUGGCGAAGGCGGCCACCUCGGCGUCGGUACGUGACGCCUCAGGUUCGAAAGCGUGGGGAGCAAACAGG
rnacentral:rRNA from 1 species